rnacentral:rRNA from 1 species
GUGGGGAAUAUUGGGCAAUGGGCGCAAGCCUGACCCAGCCAUGCCGCGUGAGUGAUGAAGGCCCUAGGGUUGUAAAGCUCUUUUAACGGUGAAGAUAAUGACGGUAACCGUAGAAUAAGCCCCGGCUAACUUCGUGCCAGCAGCCGCGGUAAUACGAAGGGGGCUAGCGUUGUUCGGAAUUACUGGGCGUAAAGCGCGCGUAGGCGGCGCAGCAAGUCAGUGGUGAAAUCCCGGGGCUCAACCUCGGAACUGCCAUUGAAACUGCUGUGCUGGAAUCUCAGAGGGGAUAGUGGAAUUCCAAAUGUAGGGGUGAAAUCCGUAGAUAUUUGGAGGAACACCGAUGGCGAAGGCAGCUAUCUGGAUGAGUAUUGACGCUGAGGCGCGAAAGCGUGGGGAUCAAACAGGAUUAGAUACCCUGGUAGUCC